AUUAAGACCCUGGAGAUUGAAAUGCUAUGUUUAUCCACAGGGCAGGUUAAGCACUGCCAACAGUUGUGCAACUUUUCCCAAACAAUGUUCCUCAACCAUGACUUGAAAGGAGCACAAUUAGGGGUGGGAGAAUAGUUUAAUCUCCAUGCCCAUUCAAUCCUUGACUUCU
rnacentral:sRNA from 1 species